AGUGAACGCUGGCGGUAGGCCUAACACAUGCAAGUCGAACGGCAGCACAGUAAGAGCUUGCUCUUACGGGUGGCGAGUGGCGGACGGGUGAGGAAUACAUCGGAAUCUACUUUUUCGUGGGGGAUAACGUAGGGAAACUUACGCUAAUACCGCAUACGACCUACGGGUGAAAGCAGGGGAUCUUCGGACCUUGCGCGAUUGAAUGAGCCGAUGUCGGAUUAGCUAGUUGGCGGGGUAAAGGCCCACCAAGGCGACGAUCCGUAGCUGGUCUGAGAGGAUGAUCAGCCACACUGGAACUGAGACACGGUCCAGACUCCUACGGGAGGCAGCAGUGGGGAAUAUUGGACAAUGGGCGGAAGCCUGAUCCAGCCAUACCGCGUGGGUGAAGGAGGCCUUCGGGUUGGAAAGCCCUUUUGUUGGGAAAGAAAAGCAGCAGGUUAAUACCCCGCUGUUCUGACGGUACCCAAAGAAUAAGCACCGGCUAACUUCGUG
rnacentral:rRNA from 1 species